rnacentral:lncRNA from 1 species
UUUCAAGCACGCCAAACAUAUUUUUAUCAGACAACUGCACACCUAUAACAGCACCUAUACCUUGGACAUCAUCCUCAAACACCUUCUCACUCCCAUGCAAAGUCACCCAAUGAUUCCACUCUUUGUUCACUGAGUCAGAGGACAAUUCCUUUUCAGAUAAAUCUUUAGAAAUCGACCGAACCGCCUUUUUCAAACGAUCCGACCCUUUCAGCUUGCG